AUUGAACGCUGGCGGCAGGCCUAACACAUGCAAGUCGAACGAGCGGCGGACGGGUGAGUAAUAUAUGUGAAACUGCCUGAUGGAGGGGGAUAACUACUGGAAACGGUAGCUAAUCCCGCAUACAAUCAGAUGUGCCCAGAUUGGCUACGCUAGUAGGUGGGGUAAUGGCUCACCUAGGCGACGAUCCCUAGCUGUUCUAAGAGUAUGACCAGCCACACUGGGACUGAGACACGUUCCAGACUCCUACGUGAGGCAGCAGUGGGGAAUAUUGCACAAUGGGCGCAAGCCGGAUGCAGCCAUGCCGCGUGUGUGAAGAAGGCCUUCGGGUUGUAAAGCACUUUCAGCGGGGAGGCGUUACCCGCAGAAGAAGCACCGGCUAACUCCGUGCCAGCAGCCGCGGUAAUAC
rnacentral:rRNA from 1 species